CGGCCCAAGGCAAAUCAGCCUGGGUGCUUCGCCGCGCGACAGCAUACCCGCUGGGGCUGGCCUUCCGGAUAGAAUGCAGCUCCACACGGUAGCUCGGCCAAUCACGAGACCUCCUUCGGAAAAAUCCUACAGGCUAUGGUUACUAUAGGUUGGGCAUUUGCUCCUGCCGAAGUGUGAAGCCGACGACUAGGUGCCUCUUUCCCCGGGCGUGGCCCCCAGUGGGCGUACCCCUGCCUAGGCGCUAUUGCGGACUUUUGGCUGCUUUCAGGACAGGGACCCGUUGGGAUAACAGACCCCGCUGCGCCAUCUCAAAGCAACUACCCCUCUGCCGCGGCGCCAUCCACCGGAAACGGACCCAACCUCACGAGCACUAAUACUCUGAGUCGGCCACUCGCGGUCUACAGAUUCGUGUUCUUCAUAAGCUAAGCCUGACCCGUAGCUUCUAAUCCAGCCUGGUCAAACAACAGCGGCGGCGCAUCCCUUUCCCGCUAUUUUAAAUACUGGGUCCGGUCUCUCCCAUGCCUUUGAUAUAACAGAACUUGCGGCGACUGGCUGUGCCUACAGUCUGACCGCGCGGAGCAAUAGCUGGCGUCUGUUACUCACCGCAUCGGCCCCCUCCGGGUAACUAGGUGGUCCGCCAUUCUGGUGUCCUCCUUCGUCUCGCUGUUGGAGGAUGUCCUCCAAGCCUUCUUGGCCUCCGCCGCGCGAUUGCUCGCGCUCUGCCAUCACUUCGCUGUUACUGGCGACCGAUAUGCCAGCAACGUCAAAUCGCCUUAUCUACUUUACUAUUGAGCUGGGUCCCGAAUACAAAGUAAAUCACUAUUUAAACAAUUCAAAAUCCCCAACAGACAACGUUCUGACUUGCGCUUGCUUGCACGGUUGACUGGCGAACUAGCGUUGUCUGGAUUCAGCGCUUUGUUCCCAGCUAAUCUUUGUAACGCACUACCGUAUCUGUAACGCCGCUAAGGCGGCCCUUGGCUCACCGGGCCAACGGUAUCGUACCAACGGUACAUCCAAGAACUUUCAUAUCUCNNNNNNNNNNNNNNNNNNNNNNNNNNNNNNNNNNNNNNNNNNNNNNNNNNUGGGUGCUUCGCUGCGCGACAGCAUACCCGCUGGGGCUGGCCUUCCGGAUGCAUGCGACCUAAACCUGCCGGCCCAAGGCAAAUCAGCCUGGGUGCUUCGCUGCGCGACAGCAUACCCGCUGGGGCUGGCCUUCCGGAUGCAUGCGACCUAAACCUGCCGGCCCAAGGCAAAUCAGCCUGGGUGCUUCGCUGCGCGACAGCAUACCCGCUGGGGCUGGCCUUCCGGAUGCACGCGACCUAAACCUGCCGGCCCAAGGCAACUCAGCCUGGGUGCUUCGCUGCGCGACAGCAUACCCGCUGGGGCUGGCCUUCCGGAUGCACGCGACCUAAACCUGCCGGCCCAAGGCAAAUCAGCCUGGGUGCUUCGCUGCGCGACAGCAUACCCGCUGGGGCUGGCCUUCCGGAUGCAUGCGACCUAAACCUGCCGGCCCAAGGCAAAUCAGCCUGGGUGCUUCGCUGCGCGACAGCAUACCCGCUGGGGCUGGCCUUCCGGAUGCAUGCGACCUAAACCUGCCGGCCCAAGGCAAAUCAGCCUGGGUGCUUCGCCGCGCGACAGCAUACCCGCUGGGGCUGGCCUUCCGAUAGAAUGCAGCUCCACACCUAGCCGGCCCUUCACGCAAAUCUCCUUCGGAAAAAUCCUACGCGCUAUGGUUACUAUAGGUUGGGCAUUUGCUCCUGCCGAAGUGUGAAGCCGACGACUAGGUGCCUCUUUUCCCCGGGCGUGGCCCCCAGUGGGCGUACCCCUGCCUAGGCGCUAUUGCGGACUUUUGGCUGCUUUCAGGACAGGGACCCGUUGGGAUAACAGACCCCGC
rnacentral:lncRNA from 1 species